rnacentral:rRNA from 1 species
AGCAGCCGCGGUAAUUCCAGCUCCAAUAGCGUAUAUUAAAGUUGUUGCAGUUAAAAAGCUCGUAGUUGAAUUUCGGGAUCAAUAUAUCGGUCGUGCCUUCGGUACGUACUGGUAUCGUUGAUUUCUACCUUCUGACGAACCAUGAUGUCAUUAAUUUGGUGUCAUGGGGAAUCAGGACUGUUACUUUGAAAAAAUUAGAGUGUUUAAAGCAGGCACACGCUUGAAUACAUUAGCAUGGAAUAAUGAAAUAGGACGUUUGACCCUAUUUUGUUGGUUUCUAGGAUCGACGUAAUGAUUAAUAGGGAUAGUUGGGGGCAUUAGUAUUCAAUUGUCAGAGGUGAAAUUCUUGGAUUUAUUGAAGACUAACUACUGCGAAAGCAUUUGCCAAGGAUGCUUUCAUUAAUCAAGAACGAAAGUUAGGGGAUCGAAGACGAUCAGAUACCGUACGUAGUCUUAACCAUAAACUAUGCCGACUAGGGAUCGGAUGAUGUUAAUUUUUAAUGA